UCCUUCGAUGGAGAUGGAAUCAUAAAAGAGAAUGAUAAGUCAAUUUAGAAAUCAGAACGUCGACCCAAUGUACUCAAAUAUAGAGUAAGCAUUUCCUUACAAGUAUGAGGUAUGUUGUAAUUUUAAGUCUCGGAUUGAAUGUAUCCUUGCAACACUUGAUUAUGAUAUAACAGAGCUAGGUUGUAUGAUAUAACAUUUGUUAUGAUACAAAUACAAUACUUAUUGUUGGAUUUUUAAAAUUUUUUUUUUGUAGAAUUUCUCUGGUCUGUCCAAUUUGGAGUUGCUCAUCAAAGAGAGCCUGCAAAAAGCCAGUGGCAGCGAUCUCCGAGUUCAUUUUAAGGUACCCUGGAUCUUCAUGAUAAUGAAUGGAAAUUCAGACAUAUAUUUCGAGGAGGCUUGCAACAACACUAGAGUAAUUGGUAUGUGAAGUAGAUCAAGGAAGAUCCUGCAAAGUUUAUCUUGAAGUAGAGGAAAAUAACUAACUUGUAAAGCUUAAUCUUGUAAAUUUUGGUAGAAGCUCCAUUCCUUUUGUAACAUUCAUGAGGAAAAUUAAAGUGUAACAUUUCUUUUUA